rnacentral:rRNA from 1 species
AUGUCGGUGCCGGUGGCGUACCAGGGGAACACGUCGGCGGCGGUGGCCGACUGGCUGAACAAGGGCGACAACGCGUGGCAGCUGACGGCGUCCACGCUGGUGGGCCUCAUGAGCGUGCCGGGCAUGGUGGUGCUGUACGGCGGCGUGGUGAAGAAGAAGUGGGCGGUCAACUCCGCCUUCAUGGCGCUCUACGCCUUCGCCGCCGUCUGGAUCUGCUGGGUCGUCUGGGCCUACAACAUGUCCUUCGGCGAGGAGCUGCUCCCGUUCUGGGGCAAGGCCGGCCCGGCGCUCGACCAGGCCUUCCUCGUCGGCCGCGCCUCGCUCCCGGCCACCGCGCACUACCGCGCAGACGGCACGCUCGAGACGGCCAUGGUGGAGCCCUACUUCCCCAUGGCCACCGUCGUCUACUUCCAGUGCGUGUUCGCCGCCAUCACGCUCAUCCUGGUGGCCGGGUCGCUGCUGGGCCGCAUGAGCUUCCUGGCGUGGAUGCUCUUCGUGCCGCUCUGGCUCACCUUCUCCUACACCGUCGGCGCCUUCUCCGUGUGGGGCGGCGGCUUCCUCUUCCACUGGGGCGUCAUCGACUACUGCGGCGGCUACGUCAUCCACAUCCCCGCCGGCGUCGCCGGCUUCACCGCCGCGUACUGGGUCGGGCCAAGGACCAAGAAGGACAGGGAGAGCUUCCCGCCCAACAACAUCCUGUUCGCGCUCACCGGCGCCGGGCUGCUGUGGAUGGGGUGGGCCGGGUUCAACGGCGGCGGGCCGUACGCGGCCAAUGUCGACUCGUCCAUGGCCAUCCUGAACACCAACAUCUGCACGGCGGCGAGCCUCAUCGUCUGGACCUGCCUCGAUGCCGUCUUCUUCAAGAAGCCCUCCGUGGUCGGCGCCGUCCAGGCCGUGAUCACCGGUCUCGUCUGCAUCACGCCAGGCGCAGGUGUCGUGCAGGGUUGGGCGGCGCUGGUUAUGGGCGUGCUGGCCGGCAGUGUGCCGUGGUACACCAUGAUGGUGCUCCACAAGCGCUCCAAGCUCCUUCAACGCGUCGACGACACCCUUGGCGUCAUCCACACCCACGGCGUCGCCGGCCUGCUGGGCGGCGUCCUCACGGGCCUCUUCGCCGAGCCGAACCUCUGCAAUCUAUUCCUUCCGGUCACCAACUCCCGGGGCGCCUUCUACGGUGGUAACGGUGGGGCGCAGCUCGGGAAGCAGAUCGCCGGAGCGCUCUUCGUGAUCGGGUGGAACGUGGUCGUCACGUCCAUUAUCUGCGUCGUCAUCCGCCUUGUCGUCCCGCUGCGCAUGUCCGAGGAGAAGCUCGCCAUUGGCGACGACGCCGUGCACGGCGAGGAGGCCUACGCGUUGUGGGGCGAUGGCGAGCACUACGAUGACACCAAGCACGGCGCCGCCGUCGUGCCGGUGUGA